UACGUAGGGUGCAAGCGUUGUCCGGAAUUAUUGGGCGUAAAGAGCUCGUAGGCGGUUUGUCGCGUCUGCUGUGAAAACUCAGGGCUUAACCCUGAGCCUGCAGUGGGUACGGGCAGGACUAGAGUGUGGUAGGGGAGAUCGGAAUUCCUGGUGUAGCGGUGGAAUGCGCAGAUAUCAGGAGGAACACCGGUGGCGAAGGCGGAUCUCUGGGCCAUAACUGACGCUGAGGAGCGAAAGCAUGGGGAGCGAACAGGA
rnacentral:rRNA from 1 species